CCUGCUAUAGUUUAUACAAAACACUGAAUUGCAAAUUCGGAAAAGAAACUAAAUUUCUAGUGAGU
rnacentral:tRNA from 1 species